CGAGGGGUAACAUGAGUGCUUGCACUUGAUGACGACCGGCGCACGGGUGCGUAACGCGUAUACAAUCUACCUAUUACUAAGAGAUAGCCCAGAGAAAUUUGGAUUAAUAUUUUAUGGUAUUACGACUUGGCAUCAGGUUGUAAUUAAAGGUUACGGUAAUAGAUGAGUAUGCGUCCUAUUAGCUAGAUGGUAAGGUAACGGCUUACCAUGGCGACGAUAGGUAGGGGUCCUGAGAGGGAGAUCCCCCACACUGGUACUGAGACACGGACCAGACUCCUACGGGAGGCAGCAGUGAGGAAUAUUGGACAAUGGGAGCAAUCCUGAUCCAGCCAUGCCGCGUGCAGGAAGACUGCCCUAUGGGUUGUAAACUGCUUUUAUACAGGAAGAAAAAGGUGUACGUGUACACUGUUGACGGUACUGUAAGAAUAAGGAUCGGCUAACUCCGUGCCAGCAGCCGCGGUAAUACGGAGGAUCCAAGCGUUAUCCGGAAUCAUUGGGUUUAAAGGGUCCGUAGGCGGGAUAAUAAGUCAGUGGUGAAAGUCUGCAGCUCAACUGUAGAAUUGCCAUUGAUACUGUUGUUCUUGAGUUAUUGUGAAGUGGUUAGAAUGAGUAGUGUAGCGGUGAAAUGCAUAGAUAUUACUCAGAAUACCGAUUGCGAAGGCAGAUCACUAACAAUACACUGACGCUGAUGGACGAAAGCGUAGGUAGCGAACAGGAU
rnacentral:rRNA from 1 species